GAUGAAGAACGUAGCGAAAUGCGAUAAGUAAUGUGAAUUGCAGAAUUCAGUGAAUCAUCGAAGCUUUGAACGCACAUUGCGCCCGCCAGUAUUCUGGCGGGCAUGCCUGUUCGAGCGUCAUUACAACCCUCAGGCCCCCGGGCCUGGCGUUGGGGAUCGGCAGAAGCCCCCUGUGGGCACACGCCGUCCCUCAAAUACAGUGGCGGUCCCGCCGCAGCUUCCAUUGCGUAGUAGCUAACACCUCGCAACUGGAGAGCGGCGCGGCCAUGCCGUAAAACACCCAACUUCUGAAUGUUGACCUCGAAUCAGGUAGGAAUACCCGCUGAACUUAAGCAUAUCAAUAAGCGGAGGA
rnacentral:misc_RNA from 1 species